UGGGGAAUUUUGCACAAUGGGGGAAACCCUGAUGCAGCGACGCCGCGUGAGCGAAGAAGGCUUUCGAGUCGUAAAGCUCUGUCCUAUGAGAAGAUAAUGACGGUAUCAUAGGAGGAAGCCCUGGCUAAAUACGUGCCAGCAGCCGCGGUAAUACGUAUGGGGCGAGCGUUGUCCGGAAUUAUUGGGCGUAAAGGGUACGUAGGCGGUUUUUUAAGUCAGGUGUCAAAGCGUGGAGCUUAACUCCAUUAAGCACUUGAAACUGAAAGACUUGAGUGAAGGAGAGGAAAGUGGAAUUCCUAGUGUCGCGAUGAAAUGCUUAGAUAUUAGGAGGAAUACCGGUGGCGAAGGCGACUUUCUGGACUUUUACUGACGCUCAGGUACGAAAGCGUGGGGAGCAAACAGG
rnacentral:rRNA from 1 species